rnacentral:rRNA from 1 species
UACGGAGGGGGCUAGCGUUGUUCGGAAUUACUGGGCGUAAAGCGCGUGUAGGCGGCUUUGCAAGUCGGGUGUGAAAGCCCUCAGCUCAACUGAGGAAGUGCGCCCGAAACUGCAGGACUUGAGGCUGGGAGGGGCUGGUGGAAUUCCCUGUGUAGCGGUGAAAUGCGUAGAGAUGGGGGAGAACACUCGUGGCGAAGGCGGCCAGCUAGACCAGUUCUGACACUGAGGCGCGACAGCGUGGGGAGCAAACAGG